GAUGAACGCUGGCGGCGUGCCUCAAACAUGCAAGUCGAGCGGGGCUAUGUAAUACCGCAAGGUAGAACAUAGCCUAGCGGCGAACGGGUGAGUAACACGUGGGUAACCUGCCUGGAAGACAGGGAUAACGAUUCGAAAGGGUCGCUAAUACCUGAUAAUAUCCUUUCAUCGCAUGGUGAUAGGAAGAAAGGGGAAACCCGCUUUCAGAUGGGCCCGCGUCCCAUCAGCUAGUUGGUAAGGUAAAGGCUUACCAAGGCGACGACGGGUAGCCGGUCUGAGAGGAUGUACGGCCACACUGGGACUGAGAUACGGCCCAGACUCCUACGGGAGGCAGCAGUUGGGAAUCUUAGGCAAUGGACGAAAGUCUGACCUAGCGACGCCGCGUGAGGGAAGAAGGCCUUCGGGUUGUAAACCUCUGUCAUGGGGGAAGAAGUAAGUGACGGUACCCAAGAGGAAGCCCCUGCUAACUACGUG
rnacentral:rRNA from 1 species